AGCACGACAGAAGAGAGCGAGGAAGCAACAUACGUUGCACAACACCGAAUAACAAGAGAUUGAAGGAGUAGGAGGGAUCAACGCUGCGUUUCCGCAUUCCUCUAUGCCUCCCAAACUUAGGCCUGAAAUUUGUACCACUACUACACAAUCUUUCUAAAGAAAUUCUGAAUUAUCUUGCAUGUAUGGUCUGUAUGCAUGGUGCAUGGAUAUGUAUCUAUCUCUUCUUUGCCAAAGUUCCGUCACGUUUCUCUUGCUUACUGAAGCAACUAUCUUUGGCUCCAGCCGCUAGCUACUCCUUUUAAGAAAGAGCAAGGGCAUCAUCUUUAAUUGGGUCUACUUCAAUGCAACAACCGUGUAGUGGAUGCAGAAAUUAACGUGCCUCAAGACCGGUGUACUAAUUUAGGACAGUAAAACUGAGCCUAAUCUCUGUCCUCUCAGCGUUUCGCGUUUCUGGCCAUCCGUACUACGGAUUUGCACGUUUUUAGCCGUCUGAUCUUGAGUGUGCAGCGAUCUCUCCCGCACCUUUCAAUUUUUGGCCCAGCUGUCCUAAGGCCCGCUACUCCAGAGGCCGAAUCGAAGCCAUCUGGUCAACUAGGCCUUUUCGCAGCCCAGUUAGCGAAGCAGUACACUCCGUGACCUCGCCAUGCCGCCGAUCUCGCGGUCAGCGAAAACAGAUCGCCGCAUCGAUUGGAUCGGUCAAUGGUGUGCCUGCCCCGCCGCUGCCAUGGCCACCAUCCAUCGGAGAAUCCUCCUGCCGCCAUAGAUCGCCGCAUCGACCCUCGCCAUAUAUUCAUGACAACUCUUCCCUUCUCCACCUUCACAACGGCGGCACGGGUUGUGGUGAUGCAGAGGCAGUUAUAGGGUUCCGCUCCACAGAAUCAGGUCUACCGGUAGUCGAGAGCUAACCCUCCUUUCGAUUCUACCUCAAUAAAAGAAAGAAAUAGAUGGCGAUACAGAGAGAUGUUGUCGACGCGGGGAUCAGCCGAUCCAUUAAUGGAAACAAAAUUGAACCAAUUCAACCGACUGGAAUCGUUUCAAUCAAGCAUUGAUCGAGCAACGAUGAGGAUUCGUGGUUUGAAGUUGAUCCCGUCAGCUUCUCGAUGGGCAACCUAAUCGAUUGACAUGUGCACACUUAACCGAAGGUACAAAUUUACCAUGCAACUGCAUUGUGUUUGAAGCACUUCCAGGCCCAUCAUUUGGGCCAAAAAGAAUCAACUAGCCGAAAGGGAUCCAAAUUCUUCCUAAUGAGCUAGGUAGGCCACAGCAACAUCUAAGUCCAUCUGGACCGGUUCUGGAUUUCCAUUUUUGGUACUUCAUAGUUAAUGCAUGAGGAUAUGUUCUGAAUGGUGGUACAUAAUUACAAAAGUAUAAUACAACUAAAUGUUGAUUUGUAGAAACAUGGGUAUCUGUACUGAAUUGGAGCCAGAAUUAUAAAAGUAUGUAUGACUUUAUGCAUGUGUGUGAGAAUCACCCUGCUAAUACCAUCAUAAGCAGAAUAACAAACAACUAGGCUAUAGUUAAAAGUUUACCGGUGGAGACUAGGAGGAUUACAAAUUUCAUAUUCCCUGAAUUGUACACAAAUUAUUAGGGGUAAAAACCGACAACAACACCGAUUCAAGCUCAUGACCACCUCAUCGAUUCAAGCCGCAGUUCAACCAUUUCAACGAUCGAUGUUUCUUCAUACAAGUCAGGUAAAGGUGCAAAGAAGAAGCAAAAUGGAAAAUAAAAUUGAGAACCUCUCACUCCAUAAGAUUCAAGCCCUAUAGAGGUUAUUAUAUUAGUCCUAUAGGAUAAUGAGAGUCGUGUGCUUAAUUUCCACCUCGGUAACAUCGUCACUGGCGCUAGAGAAAAUAGGGAUCUUGUUACAAGUAUUACAAAAAAUGGUAUCCUCCAUUUUGACGAUGAACACAAGAAUAAAAAUAGGGAUCUGGCUUCAUCAACUUGAAUGUAGAGGCCAAGGUUAUCCUCUUUUUCAAAAAUACUUUUUUUCUUAUUACGUUAUUAGCUUUGGGGUUCUUAUUGUUUAGAUUCUAAAAUGCCCUUGCUUUGAUGUUGUAUGAAUGUAAUUUUGCGGGAUAUAGUAACUGAACCUUGUGGCUUUCUAUAAAUCCAGGUGAUAACCAUGUCUAUACAAGACCUGGUUGCUCCAAAGCUCGAUAUGUGUGUGUUAAUUCACAUAUACAACAAUUUGGUAGUCGCAUGCCAUUUUUACCUCACCAAGCAUAUGGGACUAAGGUGAUAAACAUCAACAAGGUGAUUUUAGUGUCGACGUGGGUGGUGGCGGGAGUUGUGGCUGCGUUGAAGCAUGCCUGUCAUCUCAUAAGGCAUGCCUUGAGGGGGGCGCUAUUAAGCAAGUGUCUCGAGAGCCCAAAGGAGACGAGAAGCAAGCAACAUGCAUGACACUACAUUAAGUUGAUAGAGAUAUAUGAGAAAACAUACUUUUUAGCUUUGCUGCAUUCCUCAAUGUCUCCCGAAACUUACACUAGAAAUAUGAUGUAUCAAUAUACAUUGUUUGCCUAGUUUCACAUCCAUUACCAAAAGACAGACGGCCAAGUGCAUAGAAGCC
rnacentral:lncRNA from 1 species